AGUAAAAACAUUAAAAACACACGAAUGAUUGCUAAAAGCAAGACAAAACUAAAAACUAAUAAUCGGAACUAGACCUACAGUAUGAAUACUGUUCUCAUGCAGGCAAUUAAUGCAUAAAGCCGUCCAGCUGUCUUUACUGUGAAAUUGUUUGCUGAAAAAUUAUUGUGUAUAUUUCACUUGUGGAUCUGAAUUGUUUCUUGUUUGUGUGUUUUAACCCUCAAGCCUGGAGUGGAUGCUCAGUUGGACUGGUGUGGUGCAGCCUUACUUGAAGAACAUCCCUAGGAUCUCUCAUUCCACAGUACUAUAGAUUUCCUUCUGUCUGGCUGAUGCUGGGACCCUAGUACCACCACAGUUCUGUCAUCUUUUUCGUUCUGGCUUAAGAAGUGGAAUAAUUCAGGUCACCUCUACUAGAAAUCGGUUUGCUGGAACAAUUGAAACAGCAGUUCUUGAAGUGGAAGAAAAGGAGGUUCUGUGCCCUGACCCAAGGAGUGUGACCUUUUCUUCAGAACCCUCUCUGGACACGCCCUCCUAGCAUCCCCUAGGAAAGAUGCGGCAGCUCAAAGGGAAGCCCAAGAAGGAGACGUCCAAGGACAAGAAGGAGCGGAAGCAGGCCAUGCAGGAGGCCCGGCAGCAGAUCACCACGGUGGUGCUGCCCACGCUGGCCGUGGUCGUGCUCCUGAUUGUGGUGUUCGUGUACGUGGCCACGCGCCCCACCAUCACCGAGUGAGCGCCGGAGGAGGGGGAAAGUAGCAGAAACAUGGCUUUCGUUGUCAGAUUUUCCUGAUGCUGAGCUCUGAGCAGGAGCGCACCUGUCUUCUCUGCUCUUUGACUUGAUUAAAGCUUUUCCACUUUCUUGGGAGGGAAUAGGGAGCGUUUUAUCAGUCAACGUGCCAUACACCUUAUGGUCCACUUCAUGUGCCUUUCAGACUUCAAAGCCGUGUGUGUGUGUUUCUUUUUCUCUCCUAAGUCCAUGUGUAGCUCCCCCUGGUGAGAGGAGGAAUCUCGGGAUCAUGAAUGAGUUGGAAUCAGUGCUCACCCCAUCCCCAUUGUCUUGAACAUGACUCUUUUCUUACAUGUGUCCACAAUUUCCAAAGGGACUGUAUUUCUUCUCUGUGCUUAAUGUGAUUUUAAAUAUGUCGACUCAAAAGUGAAAUAUUUAUUUUUCGAAUAAAGGAGAUAAUAGCCUUAA